rnacentral:rRNA from 1 species
CCUCCGGGGGAAAGCCGCGGGGGACUGAGUGGCGGACGGGUGAGCAACGCGUGGGCAACCUGCCCCGUACCGGGGGACAACAGCCGGAAACGGCUGCUAAUACCGCAUAUUCCCGCGGGGCCGCAUGGCCCUGCGGGGAAAGCUCCGGCAGUACGGGAUGGGCCCGCGUCUGAUUAGCUUGUUGGCGGGGUAACGGCCCACCAAGGCUGCGAUCAGUAGCCGGCCUGAGAGGGCGGCCGGCCACAUUGGGACUGAGACACGGCCCAGACUCCUGCGGGAGGCAGCAGUGGGGAAUAUUGCACAAUGGGGGGAACCCUGAUGCAGCGACGCCGCGUGAACGAAGAAAUAUUUCGGUAUGUAAAGUUCUAUCAGCAGGGAAGAAAAUGACAGUACCUGACCAAGAAGCCCCGGCUAACUACGUGCCAGCAGCCGCGGUAAUACGUAGGGGGCGAGCGUUAUCCGGAUUCACUGGGCGUAAAGGGAGCGCAGGCGGCACGGCAAGUCCGGCGUGAAAGCCCGGGGCCCAACCCCGGGACUGCACUGGAAACUGCCGGGCUGGAGUGUCGGAGGGGCAGGCGGAAUUCCUAGUGUAGCGGUGAAAUGCGUAGAUAUUAGGAGGAACACCGGUGGCGAAGGCGGCCUGCUGGACGACGACUGACGCUGAGGCUCGAAAGCGUGGGGAG